UACGGAGGGUGCGAGCGUUGUCCGGAAUCAUUGGGCGUAAAGGGCGCGUAAGUGGCCCGGUCAGUCCGUGGUGAAGGCGCGGGGCUCAACCCCGCGUCGGCCAUGGAUACUGCUGGGCUGGAGCACUGUAGAGGCAGGCGGAAUUCCGGGUGUAGCGGUGGAAUGCGUAGAGAUCCGGAAGAACACCGGUGGCGAAGGCGGCCUGCUGGGCAGUUGCUGACACUGAGGCGCGACAGCGUGGGGAGCAAACAGG
rnacentral:rRNA from 1 species